rnacentral:rRNA from 1 species
UGGGGAAUAUUGGACAAUGGGCGCAAGCCUGAUCCAGCCAUGCCGCGUGAGUGAAGAAGGCCUUCGGGUUGUAAAGCUCUUUCGGCGGGGACGAAACGGUCCGGGCUAACACCACGGACUAAUGACGGUACUCGCAGAAGAAGCACCGGCUAACUACGUGCCAGCAGCCGCGGUAAUACGUAGGGUGCAGGCGUUAAUCGGAAUUACUGGGCGUAAAGCGUGCGCAGGCGGCUCCUUAAGUCAGAUGUGAAAGCCCCGGGCUUAACCUGGGAACUGCGUUUGAAACUGGGGAGCUAGAGUGUGGAAGAGGGGGGUGGAAUUCCAGGUGUAGCAGUGAAAUGCGUAGAGAUCUGGAGGAACACCGAUGGCGAAGGCAGCCCCCUGGGCUAACACUGACGCUCAUGCACGAAAGCGUGGGGAGCAAACAGGAUUAGAUACCCUGGUAGUCCACGCCGUAAACGAUGGAUGCUAGCCGUCGGCAAGCUUGCUUGUCGGUGGCGCAGCUAACGCAUUAAGCAUCCCGCCUGGGGAGUACGGCCGCAAGGCUA